rnacentral:lncRNA from 13 species
CAUGGUGCUACCCUACAGAGUGCUGUUGAGGCUACUGUAGACCUUAAUUGCAACACAGUGUUUUAUAUAAGUAUUUGGUGACGUAAAUAUAUUUAGUAUAGUUUUAUCUAUAAAAAAAAAGGGUAACUUUUUUAAAACAAUGUUUUCACAAUUUUAAUUUGUAUUAAAUUGACUGAGGAGGAUGGUCCUCCCCCUUCCUGCACUGUGUUCUACUCGUCGGUGUGAGUAGAACAAAGCAUUGUUGGGUAGCUGCAGGCCUGAAGCUAGUUAACUGUCUUCCUGUCUCUCUAACCACACACACACACACACACACACACACACACACACACACACACACACACACACACACACACACACACACACACACACACACACACACACACACACACACACACACACACACCAGUCUGUGCUUUUUACAUGAUACCUUUCAGUUGUCUCUCUGGUCUGUGUGUAUAACACUGUAUAUAAAUGAUAUAUUGAUGACAUUGUUUCUGUGUUUGUUUUAGUUUCAGCUACAAGGGGAAGUGACAUUGCAGAGGUACUCGUUUGAUCUGCAGUAUCCAGGUUAUGACCACGACACCCCCCUCACCUGCAUGGAACAACCCGGAACCUUCGAACCCAACAAUGAUCAGGAGAUCUGGGAGUCUGAGAGAGAGGGUGGUGAUGAGGAUCCCCAUGCUAUGAGCCCUGUAGCUAACGGCUCAGCUAUGGGGGCUGGAGAGACUGGCUCUACAGGGGAGAACGAAGGAGAGAAGCAGGCUCAUGGUGAUAGUGAUGGAGACAGCUUCAACAACUUCUGUGCCAGUGAUGUCACUCCGCCCAUAAAAAGGGUUGGCUUUAGCCUGGACCUCGACCUGAGUGACAAGGUGUUACUCGGCUCCAGCCCUGACCUUUGACCCUUGAGUGACAUGGUGUUACUCGGCUCCGGCCCUGACCUUCGACCCUGUAUGUCCAGAUAACGUCUUCACCGAGAUCAAGAUGUACAUAGCACCUUUAUUUGAUCUAUAAAAUGUCAGAAUGUAAACGGCUCCAAAUCAGUUUUUACUUUCCUAUUUCUGAUACUGUAAUUCAUUUUAAUAAUGUUUUUUGAGCAUGACAAUACCAAGAGAGCGAUGCCACGUGGUUUUAGAAUAAUAAAUAAAAGUACUUAACAGAGGACUUGACGUGGUGUCUUGAUGUAGUAAUGUGUGUGUGUGUUUGGGUUGACGCGUGGAACUUAAAUGACUGUCGCUCCGUAGCACUUACUUCUGUCAUCGUGUAAGUGCUUCGAGAGACUAGUCAAGGAUCGUAUCACCUCCACCUUACCUGACACCCUUAGACCCACUUCAAUGCUUUGAGAGACUACUAGUCAAGGAUCAUAUCACCUCCACCUUACCUGACACCCUUAGACCCACUUCAAUGCUUCGAGAGACUAGUCAAGGAUCGUAUCACCUCCACCUUACCUGACACCCUUAGACCCACUCCAGCUUGCAUACCGCUCUGCCUCAAUAGAUCCACAGACGAUGCAAUCGCCUGUACACUGCCCCGUCCCAUCUGGACAAGAGGAAUACCUAUGUAAGAAUGCUGUUCAUUGACUACAGCUCAGCAUUCAACACCAUAGUAACCUCCAAGCUCAUCGUUAAGCUCAGGGUCCUGAUUCUGAAACCCCGCCCUGCGCAACUGGG